GACAGAGGAUGCAAGCGUUGUCCGGAAUUAUUGGGCGUAAAGAGCUCGUAGGCGGUUUGUCGCGUCUGCUGUGAAAACUCAGGGCUUAACCCUGAGCCUGCAGUGGGUACGGGCAGACUAGAGUGUGGUAGGGGAGAUCGGAAUUCCUGGUGUAGCGGUGGAAUGCGCAGAUAUCAGGAGGAACACCGGUGGCGAAGGCGGAUCUCUGGGCCAUAACUGACGCUGAGGAGCGAAAGCAUGGGGAGCGAACAGG
rnacentral:rRNA from 1 species